UCACGUGACAGGACCGAGCGAUGGGAGGAUUCUGGUGCACCCCGGAAGGAGGAUUUUUAAUUCUUCUGUUUUCUUGUCUAUCGCAAAACAGAGUUUACAUGUAUUUUCCUUUUUUCUUAGCUUAAGAAUUGAAGACUUUGGCCGGAUUAGACCUGGUUGUGUGGAGAGGAGAAUUAAUAACUACAGUGGAGCGAGCCCUCCUGCGAGAGUCAGGAUACUACUAUGCUAGUCCCGACUCUGCCCCAAAUGCCUGGAGAGACUUUGGCUAAGUCACUUUUUCUUUCCGCGGGCUGUUUACCGUUGGUAAAAGGAGAGGGUCACCCACUCACUCCACAAACAUUUGUUGAGUCAUUGGUUAUAGCGGGAACAAGACAGGCAAAGUUCUUCCUGAAUUCUGGUCGGAGAUGGAUAACGGAAACAACUUUGUUGAGGGUCUCGUUCUGUCGCCCUGGCCGGAGUGCAGUGUCAUGAUCAGGGCUCGACCUCCCGGGCUCAAACAAUCCCCCUACUUCAGCCACCCAAGUAGCUAGGACCACAGGCUAGGAGCACAAAAGGGCUUUGUAUUGAUUUCUGGCCACGGUAACUAGGCCAAGAAAGAAAUUCUAUCCUCCUGCAGACCAGCAACAACCACAGCCAAGGAAUGCUCCUCCGGCAUUUGCCAUCCACUUGUUAAAAUGAUUAAACUAGGACUGCAUCAUGGUGGGAUGACCAGCACACUUCAAAGGGAAAAAAAUUUUAAAUCGGAAGAUG
rnacentral:lncRNA from 10 species